rnacentral:rRNA from 1 species
AAGCGGGUGGAAGCAUGUGGUUUAAUUCGAAGCAACGCGCAGAACCUUACCAGCCCUUGACAUAGGGGUUUGGGGUCUUGGAGACAGGACCUCUCAGUUCGGCUGGGCCCCAUACAGGUGCUGCAUGGCUGUCGUCAGGCUCGUGUCGUGANAUGUUGGGUUAAGUCCCGCAACGAGCGCAACCCUCGCCCUUAGUUGCCAUCGGUUCGGCCGGGCACUCUAGGGGAACUGCCGGUGACAAGCCGGAGGAAGGCGGGGAUGACGUCAAGUCCUCAUGGCCCUUAUGGGCUGGGCUACACACGUGCUACAAUGGCGGUGACAGUGGGCAGCGAAGCCGCAAGGUGGAGCCAAUCCCCAAAAACCGUCUCAGUUCGGAUUGUUCUCUGCGACUCGAGAGCAUGAAGGUGGAAUCGCUAGUAACCGUGGAUCAGCAUGCCACGGUGAAUACGUUCCCGGGCCUUGUACACACCGCCCGUCACACCAUAGGAGUUGGUUUUAUCCCGAAGCCGGUGCGCUAACCGCAAGGAGGCAAACCGACCAC